UGAGCUUUAUAAAUUAUAAAUGAUAAACCAAUACUCUAUUUCUCUUACAUGCAAAAAGGGAUAAAUAUGGCUAAAAUUGUGAAAUUUAUUUGUACUAUGAUUAUCUUUCUUUCUGUAUCUAUCGUUGCAAUGAACGAUGAAUCGACUUUUUUAUGUACAGAAGAUUUUGAUUGUCCAGAGUAUAUGUGCUCUCCUCCUAAGAAACCAUUGUGUUAUUUGUUUGCAAGUUCUCCCUUUGAAAGAAAAAUAGGUGUAUGUGAAUGUCAUUAAGCAAUGUUACCAUGAGAUUCUUCUAGAAAAAUUCAUGAGUUGUAAUUUAAUAAUUGUGUGGUCACCCAUUAAUUUGAUAUUUUUCUUUUUCUAUUUUCAUGGAA